AGAGUUUGAUCCUGGCUCAGGAUGAACGCUAGCGACAGGCCUAACACAUGCAAGUCGAGGGGCAUCGCGGGAGAAGCUUGCUUCUCCUGGCGGCGACCGGCGCACGGGUGCGUAACAGGUGUGCAAUCUGUCCUAUACCGGGGCAUAGCCCAGCGAAAGUUGGAUUAAUUCUCCAUGUGAGCGAGUGCCGCAUGACACACGCUUGAAACGUAAGGGUAUAGGGUGAGCACGCUUCUGAUUAGAUAGUUGGUGGGGUAACGGCUCACCAAGUCGACGAUCAGUAGGGGUUCUGAGAGGAAGGUCCCCCACAUUGGAACUGAGACACGGUCCAAACUCCUACGGGAGGCAGCAGUGAGGAAUAUUGGUCAAUGGGCGAGAGCCUGAACCAGCCAAGUCGCGUGAAGGAUGAAGGCUCUAUGGAUUGUAAACUUCUUUUGUCCGAGGGUAAAAAAGGCCACGUGUGGCUUCUUGCAAGUAUCGGACGAAUAAGCAUCGGCUAACUCCGUGCCAGCAGCCGCGGUAAUACGGAGGAUGCGAGCGUUAUCCGGAUUUAUUGGGUUUAAAGGGUGCGUAGGUGGUUUGUUAAGUUUGUGGUGAAAGCGUGCGGCUCAACCGUACCAAGCCAUGAAAACUGGCGAACUUGAGUGCAAACGAGGUAGGCGGAAUGUGAUGUGUAGCGGUGAAAUGCUUAGAUAUGUCACAGAACCCCGAUUGCGAAGGCAGCUUACCAGCAUGCAACUGACACUGAGGCACGAAAGCGUGGGUAUCAAACAGGAUUAGAUACCCUGGUAGUCCACGCAGUAAACGAUGAAUACUAGCUGUUGGCGAUAGAUUGUCAGCGGUACAGCGA
rnacentral:rRNA from 1 species